GACGAAUGGAAAAGGCACCCUUGAUCAAUGGAUUGAAAAUCCAAACAAGAACUGUAAGCGUGCAGACUGCGUGAGCGCGACGGGCCAUGACGGCGCGGCCGCUUCUCAGCGGAUGACGAGGCCCCCGGCCGUUCCUCCAUAGCAACGCCCACCUGCAUCUGACGCAGCGCCUGCGACCAAGGCCUCACUUGCAGAAGGCAUGAUGGCGGCCUCUGGCCGGCGCUGGCUGAAGCGCGCGCGCCGCGGUCGCUCCUCCCUCCGGCCAUGGCGCAACCUUCCAGGCUGUCGUUGAGGGUCCCCUUCCCCCGCGCGGCGCUCGCGUCGUUGUACCCAACGGAAGCUGAGGCACCUACGGUCGGCGAGCCUGUCUCGAAAGGCUGUUGUGGCAUAGAAAAAUUCCCCAUUGGGAUUUCAUAUCCGCACAUGAAAACAAGAGGAUAAGGAACCUUAUCCCUUCGACAUUGUGCAUCAAGGUCCUUGCAGUUGCAUGAAUUUGAAAACAGGUCGAACAGUGGUCCAGACCGAUUGUGCAACGUAUCCUAUUUCUGGGAUUUUGCACAUUGGAUUCUGUUAACAGUACUAUUUACUAGUAUUUAACUAGUUUAGACCCUAUUAAUUACUGCAUUUUCUGUUGAGUUUCAACAUUCCAGAAAAUAUGUGGUUAUUAUAUGUGGCAUGUUCGAUGUGUUUGCUUUUUAGCAAUCCCUAUAACAUGUCCUAUUAUUACAAUGAUAUUGUUUUGCAAUUGAGAUUAAGUUUUCUCGCACAACAAUAUUGAUUUGCG
rnacentral:rRNA from 1 species